UUUUCUAGAGGUUUAGCAGCAAAGGGGAAGAGAGAGGAAGAUAGUUCAUGAGAAGCGGCUUCUAUCUUUUCAGUAAAGUCAUGUAAGAUCACUUGCUGAGCAAGAGGAAUACAAGGUUGGAGUUGGGGGCCAGAAGAGAAAGGAGGUUUGGACUCAUCACUGUGGAGAAUGGGAGGCAAGUUUCAGAAAGGGGUGCUCCUUUAUCACCCAAAGGGCCAGAUUCCCAGCAAGCAACUGGAAACCAGCACUUCUUACUGCAUCAGUUAAAGAGACUGCCAGAAGAGACCUCCUUGGGUGAGAUUGCAUCUUUUCUCUUGGUUCAGUUGAAGAACUCAU